UACGUAGGGGGCAAGCGUUGUCCGGAUUUAUUGGGCGUAAAGAGCGUGUAGGCGGCCACACAGGUCUGCUGUGAAAACUCGAGGCUCAACCUCGAGCUGUCGGUGGAAACCGUGUGGCUAGAGUCCGGAAGAGGAGAGUGGAAUUCCUGGUGUAGCGGUGAAAUGCGCAGAUAUCAGGAGGAACACCGGUGGCGAAGGCGGGUCUCUGGGCAGUAACUGACGCUGAGGAGCGAAAGCGUGGGGAGCGAACAGG
rnacentral:rRNA from 1 species